rnacentral:lncRNA from 10 species
CAAAGUCAUCUAUGUUUCCUGAUAAAGGGGACAAUUAUUUGCCAUGGCACUAAGAUGUGUCAUCUUUGUGAAUAUGAUCUAGAAGAAAAAGCACAAUUAUUUAAAUAUGGCCCAUUUUGGUUUCUGAUAGAUUUGUUUGACACCUUUUCUUAUUUUGAGGUGUAGUAUGCUUCCAUGUACCUUUCCAGUAUAAAUUCAGGUCCUACCAUCUGGAGUGACUCAAAGUAAGGUUGGACUUCUUUUGGAAGACAAAAACAAACAAACAAAAAGCAAAAACAACAACAACAAAAACAAUUAUUCAAAUAUUUGAAGAUAAAUAUUGCUGCGAAAGGCCAUCAUGGCAUGUUCAUCAUAUGGCAUCCCCUGCUAUGUCUCUUCCUGGUUGGGAGGAAAUGGGGUCCUUCACCUGCUGCCCAAGACGGGUGCGUGCAAGUCAUCUCCUGUGUCGACUGUGGGACGAGACCCGCUGAUCAUAAGAAACUGAACUGAUACUCACUGUUGAAACUGGGCUUUCUCUGUUUCUUCUAUAUGAUAGUAAAGCAUUGUUCCAUCC